CUGAACACUUAGGAAGCAGGGAGAGAAACCAAGAUUUUGAUAUAAUCAAAUUAAACAUUAAGACUGUAUUCUAUAAUUGUAUCCCUUCAUGAACCAAGCCUAAAUUGGUCAGUCUUUUCAUACUUAUGCUGUGGAUUCAAAAAACCCACUUAAAAAUUGUCUACUUUUGGAGGUAUUUGAAACAAGAUAGCUAUUUCUUUUCCUGUGGAGUUUAAAGCCAAGAGACCAACAUUCCUAUUGGAGCUAUAUGACAUUUGUUAACCAACAGUUCUACUUUUAAGGAUUACUGCAUAACUUGUGCCAAAGGACAAGAAACCAAGAUUCACUAGGAUUUCAAGGAUGCUUGCUAGUUACAUCCACCCCACAGCUGUCUUCUAUAACUAAGGAUCUGUUUGAAAAGGCUUUGGGCAUCACAAGGAAAGUUUCACCAGCAGCAGAUUUUCCUGGUCAUGAUGAAGACAAAACACAUCCAUUGCCCAAAAAAUGAGCUUCAGUACAAAAUUAAAAUAGUAGACUCAACAGACAAGAAAUAUAAGUCAUUCAAGCAACAUGGGCAGAGAAAAUAAUCUAAAACAAUUAAUGAACAGAAGAGGAGAAAAGGACAGAAAUGAACUGAUAUGAACUGAAAUGCCUUACUUGCAGAAAGCUUUGAAUACAGCUGCAAACUUAUUCAUCAGACAUCCAUAGGAAGGGAGUUCCACAGAGAUGGUUCCUGAACUGAAAAAACCCUGCCCUCAGGCAGCUUCAGAUGGAGAAACAGAAUCUCUGGUCAGAGGGCAAGGAUAUAGCCAUACAAUCACAUCUGUCUUGGACCAGCAUAAGGGGAGAGAUGGGUACUCCAGUACCUUGGGUUUGGAUUAUUUAAUGUUAAAACAGUGACAGAACUGGUUGAAGGUUUGCUUUCAAAGUACUUUUAGUAGAAGAUGUGAAGUAUUGAUCGUGCAUCUGUGUUCUAAAAUAGCAAUGGUGAGGAUCAACACAAAAAUGUGAGCCAAUGGAAAGUGGAAAAAAUUAAACUUACAGGGUUUGAAUUAAAACAAUGUCAUGAGAAAGUUGCACACAAUGUGGGGAAGGCGCAUACUCUAGUCAAACAUUAACCACUUGACUACUGCAAACCUGCAGAUAAGGUGCAUCUGCCGUACUGCUGAACGUAUUGCACCAUGUAUGUCUGGAUCUGAACAUUGCAUUGAUUGCAGUUGAAUGCAUCAACACAGCAGGUGCAGUGUAGCAGAGGAGUUAAAUAUUGUAAGAGUCUUCACUCAAGAAAACCUAUUGCUUAUCCAGCUCCCAUUUGAGUGGUUUUUUCCUUCUUUGUGUAUCAUGGAAGAGAGUGUAUACUCUGGUGAUUAAGGCAGAGGGAUGAAGGUCAGGAUCCUUGUAUUCUAAUCCUGUCUCAGACACUAGCUCACUGUAGCUUUGGCCAAGUCACUCAAAAUUCCUCUACCUUGAUUUGUCUAUCUUGGGUGUAGGAAUAGUUAAUGCUUUUAAAAAGUCUUAUGAAUUUUGGAUGAAAAUU